GACGAACGCUGGCGGCGUGCUUAACACAUGCAAGUCGAGCGGAAGGCUCCUUCGGGGGUACUCGAGCGGCGAACGGGUGAGUAACACGUGAGUAAUCUGCCCUGGACUCUGGGAUAGCCACCGGAAACGGUGAUUAAUACCGGAUAUGACCAGCUUCCGCAUGGUGGUUGGUGGAAAGUUUUUUCGGUCCAGGAUGUGCUCGCGGCCUAUCAGCUUGUUGGUGAGGUAAUGGCUCACCAAGGCUUUGACGGGUAACCGGCCUGAGAGGGUGACCGGUCACACUGGGACUGAGACACGGCCCAGACUCCUACGGGAGGGAGCAGUGGGGAAUAUUGGACAAUGGGCGGAAGCCUGAUCCAGCAACGCCGCGUGAGGGAUGACGGCCUUCGGGUUGUAAACCUCUUUCAGUACCGACGAAGCGAAAGUGACGGUAGGUACAGAAGAAGGACCGGCCAACUACGUGCCAGCAGCCGCCGUAAGAC
rnacentral:rRNA from 1 species